CUUUAAGAAUCCUGACACUUAAUGGCUUAUGUCAGUAAAAAUAUGUAGUCUAGACUGUUUUUUCCCCCCUUUAAUAUCCCACAUGCAUAUCAGCUCAGGUCUUAAACCACCACCAACCCCCCACUGCUCCCCUCCCCCCACCACCAAAGAAUGUUUCUACUGUAAAUAAGCCAUGGCAUUUUAAAACCAAUAAUCAAUUUUAAAUCACUAAUUAAAAUAAAUUUCAGCAUUACAGGAGAAGAACAUAUUUGAUUUUACAGUGUAGAAGUGCUAUUCCUUACCUUCUCCUUGAAACAAUACACCGUCUCCUCGCCGUCCCAGAUGGUGCGGGGCAGGGGGAAUUUCCUGCGCAGCCGGUACUUGUCUACGGCUCCCAGCGGCCGGCCGCGGGCUCGCUCGGCCUCGGUGUAGCGCGCCUUGUACCAGAGCUGCUGCAGCAGCGGGUGGUUGGCCGACUCGAAGCUGUGGCUCUCGAGGAUGCUGUAGAGCUCGGGGUAGAUGCCCUGGUGGAAGGCCACGAGCGCCCGCGCCUUCAGCAGGCUCUCGUUGCCACGUAGCAGGUCGUCUAGAGCAUCAAGUUCAACAGAUUAUAUAGAAGCAACAGUGGCUUUUUAUGACAUCUGUAGCCUGUAGCUAGCUACAUUGCUAUUCCAUACCUCCAGUAGGACCAGCUGUGAAAUCCACACCAAGAUCCAGGUUCCUUUAGCCAGUUGACACUCAG
rnacentral:lncRNA from 1 species